AUCACCCCUAGUUUUUGGUGGGGUUCGUGUUGUUUAUUCUUUAGUUUUCUAUGUUGUGUCAUGUGUAAUAUUGUUUGUCUUUUUUUUCAUUUUUAGCCAUGGCGUUGUCAGUUUGUUUUAGAUUUAUGAGUUUGACUGUCCCUUUGGUAUCUUUCGUCCCUCUUUUAUACCAAAGUUAAUCAUGAUAUGCCUUAUGUUUUUAUAUUUGAAAUUUAUAUGCCAAUUUAUUGUUG
rnacentral:lncRNA from 1 species